GUGAAUCAUCAAAUCUUUGAACGCAAAUUGCACUCCCUGGUAUUCCGGAGAGUAUGCCUGUUCGAGGGUCGGUAGAAUAAAAAAUCGAUGCGUCGCUCUUGUUUUUAAGGGUGAUGUCGUCGGACUUGAGCCGUCUUUCAAAUGUUAAUUCAUGUCAAAGUGGCUUGAAAUGCAUCCAUCCGGUACGAUUGAAGCGUAUUUAAGAUCAAUUUUGAGUUAGAACGCACGAUGACGUACG
rnacentral:misc_RNA from 1 species